rnacentral:rRNA from 1 species
GACGAACGCUGGCGGCGUGCUUAACACAUGCAAGUCGAACGGAAAGGCCCUGCUUUUGUGGGGUGCUCGAGUGGCGAACGGGUGAGUAACACGUGAGUAACCUGCCCUUGACUUUGGGAUAACUUCAGGAAACUGGGGCUAAUACCGGAUAGGAGCUCCUGCUGCAUGGUGGGGGUUGGAAAGUUUCGGCGGUUGGGGAUGGACUCGCGGCUUAUCAGCUUGUUGGUGGGGUAGUGGCUUACCAAGGCUUUGACGGGUAGCCGGCCUGAGAGGGUGACCGGCCACAUUGGGACGGAGAUACGGACCAGACUCCUACGGGAGGCAGCAGUGGGGAAUAUUGCACAAUGGGCGGAAGCCUGAUGCAGCCACGCCGCGUGCGGGAUGACGGCCUUCGGGUUGUAAACCGCUUUCGCCUGUGACGAAGCGUGAGUGACGGUAAUGGGUAAAGAAGCACCGGCUAACUACGUG